rnacentral:rRNA from 1 species
UACAUGGGGUGCAAACGUUGCUCGGAAUUAUUGGGCGUAAAGCGCGCGUAGGCGGUUACUCAAGUCGGAUGUGAAAGCCCUCGGCUUAACUGAGGAAGUGCACCCGAAACUGAGUAGCUAGAGUACUAAAGAGGGUCGCGGAAUUCCCGGUGUAGAGGUGAAAUUCGUAGAUAUCGGGAGGAAUACCGGUGGCGAAGGCGGCGACCUGGGUAGAUACUGACGCUGAGGCGCGAAAGCGUGGGGAGCAAACAGG